rnacentral:rRNA from 1 species
GACGAACGCUGGCGGCGUGCCUAAUACAUGCAAGUAGAACGCUGAAGGAGGAGCUUGCUUCUCUGGAUGAGUUGCGAACGGGUGAGUAACGCGUAGGUAACCUGCCUUGUAGCGGGGGAUAACUAUUGGAAACGAUAGCUAAUACCGCAUAAGAGUAGAUGUCGCAUGACAUUUGCUUAAAAGGUGCAAUUGCAUCACUACCAGAUGGACCUGCGUUGUAUUAGCUAGUUGGUGAGGUAACGGCUCACCAAGGCAACGAUACAUAGCCGACCUGAGAGGGUGAUCGGCCACACUGGGACUGAGACACGGCCCAGACUCCUACGGGAGGCAGCAGUAGGGAAUCUUCGGCAAUGGACGGAAGUCUGACCGAGCAACGCCGCGUGAGUGAAGAAGGUUUUCGGAUCGUAAAGCUCUGUUGUAAGAGAAGAACGAGUGUGAGAGUGGAAAGUUCACACUGUGACGGUAUCUUACCAGAAAGGGACGGCUAACUACGUG